CCAGCAGCCCGCGGUAAUUCCAGCUUCAGCAGCAUUUAUUAAAGUGCUGCGGUUUAAAAGGCUCGCAGUUGAAUGUCUGUUUCGAGCGCAGGUCAGGUGGACGUUGGGGCGUGGAAGUACGGGCUGUUGGAUGCCCGGUGGGCUUCGUGCUCGUCGGCUCCUUCGGCUUUUCCACACACCCCCGUCCGUGACAAGCCUCCUCGCUCGGGUACAUAACGGGAAUCGGUCAAACGGAGUGUGGUCAUGGAAGUUGAGGUGCGUGGCUUUACGGUUGCGUGUCGCUUCUCUCGUGGCUGCGUCAAGCUCCAUCGGUUUCACGGUCACCUUGAGUAAAUCAGAGUGCUCAAAGCAGUCGUAGGGGCCUUGCGCCCUGUGAACAGUCUUGACGGACUGACUUGGUUUUGCAUGGCAUGUCGGAAGACGACGUCGUGUGCUGGCUCAGAGGAUAAAUCAGUGGUACAAGCCAGCCUCGACGUAAUGAUUAAAAGGGACGGGCGAGGGCAUUGGUAUUGCGAGGCGAGAGGUGAAAUUUUUGUGAACCCCCCGCAA
rnacentral:rRNA from 1 species